rnacentral:rRNA from 1 species
AGGACGAACGCUGGCGGCGUGCCUCAUACAUGCAAGUGGAGCGACGAACCAGGCUUCGGCCUGGGGCAAAGCCGCGAACGGGUGAGUAACACGUGGGUUACCUGCCCCGAUGAUUGGGACAACCCGAGGAAACUCGGGCUAAUACCAAAUGUGCUCCUGGCCGUGAUGGCCAGGUGGAAAGGAAGCUUCGGCCUCCGCAUCGGGAUGGGCCCGCGGCCCAUUAGCUAGUUGGUGGGGUAAUGGCCUACCAAGGCGACGAUGGGUAGCUGGUCUGAGAGGACGAUCAGCCACACUGGGACUGAGACACGGCCCAGACUCCUACGGGAGGCAGCAGUAGGGAAUAUUGGACAAUGGGCGCAAGCCUGAUCCAGCCAUGCCGCGUGGAUGAUGAAGGCCUUAGGGUUGUAAGUCCUUUUAACGGGAAGAUAAUGACGGUACCGUAGAAUAAGCCCGGCUAACUUCGUGCCAGCAGCCGC